UACGAAGGGGGCUAGCGUUGCUCGGAAUCACUGGGCGUAAAGGGUGCGUAGGCGGGUCUUUAAGUCAGGGGUGAAAUCCCGGGGCUCAACCUCGGAACUGCCUUUGAUACUGCAAAUCUCGAGUCCGGAAGAGGUGAGUGGAAUUCCUAGUGUAGAGGUGAAAUUCGUAGAUAUUAGGAAGAACACCAGUGGCGAAGGCGGCUCACUGGUCCGGUACUGACGCUGAGGUGCGAAAGCGUGGGGAGCAAACAGG
rnacentral:rRNA from 1 species